rnacentral:lncRNA from 1 species
AGUGGAGGGACGGGGAGGAGGCGGGCCGAGCCGGGGGGGGCGGGGCAGCGUGGCCUGGGUGGGCGGGGCGGAGGCGAGCUGGGCCGAGAGGGCGGGUCGGCCCCACCUGAGGCGCCGGAGGCGGGGCGGCCACCCUUUGCCUCGUUGCUGCCCGCUGAGAGCUCCUGACUCGCGGCCGCCCGGAUCCCGCGAGGCAUCGGUACCUCGCGAUGCUGUUCUACUUGGACAGAGCCCGCAGGGGGGACGACCUAAGGGAUCCCAAGGCAGGGGCUCUCAUAGAUGGAGGAAGGAGGCUGCCACCUGCAGUUUUGGAAGCUCCUGUUGGAUUAGAAACUUAAUGAAUGCCAAGAUAUGGUCGCAGAAACGGCAGUACAUUUUUAAAGUUUACAUCAAGAACGACCUUUAAUGUUACGUAGCCGUGCUAUUCAGCAGAUCGUUACUGGAUUUAGAGAGCCACGGUGAGCUGAGGUGUUGUGGAGGUAAC